rnacentral:rRNA from 1 species
UGGGGAAUAUUGGACAAUGGGCGAAAGCCUGAUCCAGCCAUGCCGCGUGAGUGAUGAAGGCCUUAGGGUUGUAAAGCUCUUUCACCCACGACGAUGAUGACGGUAGUGGGAGAAGAAGCCCCGGCUAACUUCGUGCCAGCAGCCGCGGUAAUACGAAGGGGGCUAGCGUUGUUCGGAAUUACUGGGCGUAAAGCGCACGCAGGCGGUCCGAUUAGUCAGAAGUGAAAGCCCCGGGCUUAACCUGGGAACUGCUUUUGAUACUGUCGGGCUUGAAUCACGGAGAGGGUAGUGGAAUUCCGAGUGUAGAGGUGAAAUUCGUAGAUAUUCGGAAGAACACCAGUGGCGAAGGCGACUACCUGGCCGUCGAUUGACGCUCAUGUGCGAAAGCGUGGGGAGCAAACA